GUCCUGACAGAGAGACAGAGACACACAGAGGCGAGGCUCUGAAAGCAGAAAAGGACACUUUCUUCUUCCGAAAGCUGGACAUCUUCCAAAACUUCUGCAGCUCAAAACAACAAGAACUAUCCACAUCAGAUUUCCACAAAAAAGACCUUAAAAAUGGCCUCCAAAUGUUUGAACUUCAGGCUUGCUUCUGGCGAAAGAGGGGGUGAGAGUUGGUCUUGGACUUCAGACUGUUGACCAAGACUUUGCCAGUCUCAGAAUACCAAUACGCCACCUUAUAACCCAGGCAGUAUCACACCAGGCGAACAAUAGAGCCCUAAAAUUCAGAGCUAUGUAUGCCUAUUAAACAAAAUUAAGGUUGCGUGUUCAGAAAACAUCAAAAUAUGACUUCAUUUAUUUUUUCCAGCCUUAUCUUUUUGAAAGUAGUUCAGAAAAGAGUUGCUGCAGAGAAAGUGUGAUUUUGUUCGUGUUUAAAACCAGUGUGGAAGCAUGUAUGUCAUGUUGUCAGGGCUUAGUGUGAUUUUCUUCUCUUGUUCUUGUUGUUUCAGGCAAAUCCACUCAGAGACCUCUGGCCUGUGAGACCAACAGAGGAGAGAAACAGCACGAGAAAGAAAACAGACCGACAGCCAAACAUAGAAAGCAAAAGAGAGCGAGAGAGAGAGAGAG